rnacentral:rRNA from 1 species
GACGUAGGGCGCAAGCGUUGUCCGGAUUUAUUGGGCGUAAAGAGCUCGUAGGCGGUUUGUCGCGUCGAAUGUGAAAACCCGGGGCUCAACCCCGGGCCUGCAUUCGAUACGGGCAGACUAGAGUUCGGUAGGGGAGACUGGGAUUCCUGGUGUAGCGGUGAAAUGCGCAGAUAUCAGGAGGAACACCGGUGGCGAAGGCGGGUCUCUGGGCAACAACUGACGCUGAGGAGCGAAAGCGUGGGGAGCGAACAGG